rnacentral:lncRNA from 1 species
CGGUUUACUCACCUCCACCGGUGUUCUCGCCUCCGCCACCGGUGCUCUCUUCCCCACCACCACCAUCACCGCCACCGCCAUCUCCUUCGCCUCCACCACCUCCAGUUUACUCCCCUCCUCCACCUCCACCAGUUUACUCACCUCCACCACCCCCUCCUCCCCCACCGCCACCACCACCUGUUUAUUUUCCGCCACCACCUCCACCUUCACCACCACCACCGUCUCCCCCUCCACCCUCACCCCCACCACCUUCUCCAUCACCGCCUCCCCCUCCCUCGCCACCACCACCGGUAUUAUCGCCCCCGCCUCCAGUUUAUUGCGUCCGUUCCCCACCACCGCCACCGCCAAAUUCUCCCCCGCCUCCCAUUUAUUCUCCACCACCACCUCCAGUUCAUUCACCGCCCCCACCAAGUCCUUACUAUAGUUCACCACCGCCCCCGCCGCCACAUCAUUCACCUCCACCACCUCCCCACUCGCCACCCCCGCCUCCACCUAUCUAUCCAUACGCAUCACCGCCACCGCCACCCGUGCAUUCCCCACCACCACCUGUCCAUUCUCCACCACCUCCAUGCAUAGAACCGCCUCCUCCUUCUCCACCACCCCCAUCACCACCUCCAUGCAUAGAACCGCCUCCUCCUCCUUCUCCACCACCAUGUGUAGAAUAUUCGCCACCUCCACCAUCACCACACUCACCACCGCCACCACCAGUUCAUUACUUGCCUCCACCAUCACCAUCACCCCCACCACCACCUGUGUAUGCUUCUCCGCCACCUCCACCAUCUCUGCCUCCCCCAGUUUACUACCAUUCUCCGCCCCCACCCUCACCACCUCCUCCAACCCCAUGUGAAAAUCCUCCACCUACUCCAUCACCACCGCCCCCAAUCAUUUAUGAGAGCCCACCACCUCCAACCCCUGUAUAUGAGGGGCCAUUGCCACCAAUCUUUGGAGUUUCAUACGCUUCUCCACCGCCACCACCCUUCUAUUGAUUCUUUUGAGAAUUUUCCUCCUCUUGACAUUUC